rnacentral:lncRNA from 1 species
AAAGAGCCCAGAAAGGUGCAAAACUUCAGAGAGGCAUCAGAAUCAAAGCUGAACAGUUGGAUUCAAAUUGCAGAGGAAGAAAAGGAACAUCUCGGAGAAUCGCGAGGGAUCUGACUGUCGAUAUUGCUUUCAAUCAGCUUGAGCCCCUGCUGCAUUUUAAGGACUCAUUGUCAGAUAGCUCAGCGGCCAUCAAAGAGCCCAUGUGAAAGGUCUGAAACUCUGAGUGCAGCGAUCAAUGAUCAUCUGGUAGCAGAAAGAACACCUUGAUUGGAGCUUGCAAGAGUGGCUUCCACUGUUGUGCACUGUUGGUGAGAAUGUAAACUGGUACAGCC